rnacentral:rRNA from 1 species
UACGGAAGGGGCGAGCGUUGUUCGGAAUCAUUGGGCGUAAAGGGCGCGUAGGUGGUUUUGUAUGUCUACCGUGAAAGCGUACGGCUCAACCGUAUUUUGUCGGUAGAAACUGCAGGACUUGAGGCUGGGAGGGGCUGGUGGAAUUCCCUGUGUAGCGGUGAAAUGCGUAGAGAUGGGGGAGAACACUCGUGGCGAAGGCGGCCAGCUAGACCAGUUCUGACACUGAGGCGCGACAGCGUGGGGAGCAAACAGG